AUUGGACGCUGGCGGCAGGCUUAACACAUGCAAGUCGAGCGAGCGGCGGACGGGUGAGUAAUGUCUGGGAACCUGCCUGAUGGAGGGGGAUAACUACUGGAAACGGUAGCUAAUACCGCAUACCAUCAGAUGUGCCGAGAGGGGAUGAGCUAGUGGGUGGGGUAAUGGCUCACCUAGGCGACGAUCCCUAGCUGGUCUGAGAGGAUGACCGGCCACACUGGGACUGAGACACGGCCCAGACUCCUACGGGAGGCAGCAGUGGGGAAUAUUGCACAAUGGGCGCAAGCCUGAUGCAGCCAUGCCGCGUGUGUGAAGAAGGCCUUCGGGUUGUAAAGCACUUUCGGCGGGGAGGCGUUACUCGCAGAAGAAGCACCGGCUAACUCCGUGCCAGCAGCCGCGGUAAUAC
rnacentral:rRNA from 1 species